rnacentral:snRNA from 1 species
AUACUUACCUGGCAGGGGAGAGACCAUGAUCACGGAGGUGGUUUUCCCAGGGCGAGGCUUAUCCAUUACACUCCAGAUGUGCUGACCCCUGCAAUUUCCCCAAAUGUGGGAAACUCGACUGCGUAAUCUGUGAUAGUGGGGGACUGUGUUUGUGCUCUCCUCUU